rnacentral:rRNA from 1 species
GACGAACGCUGGCGGCGUGCUUAACACAUGCAAGUCGAAUGGAGUGGCGAACGGGUGAGUAACACGUGGGUGAUCUGCCUUGCACUUCGGGAUAAGCUUGGGAAACUUGGUAUAAUACCGGAUAGUGCAAGAUGAGUGCGGGGCCUAUCAGCUUGUUGGUGGGGUAAUGGCCUACCCAGGCGUCGACGGGUAGCCGGCCUGAGAGGGUGGACGGCCACAUUGGGACUGAGAUACGGCCCAGACUGCUACGGGAGGCAGCAGUGGGGAAUAUUGCACAAUGGGCGGAAGCCUGAUGAAGAGACGCCGCGUGGGGGAUGAAGGCCUUCGGGUUGUAAACUCCUUUCGACAGGGACGCGGUACCUGUAUAAGAAGCACCGGCUAACGACGUGCCAGCAGCCGCGGUAAUUC